UACGUAGGGGGCAAGCGUUGUCCGGAAUCAUUGGGCGUAAAGAGCGUGUAGGCGGCUCGGUAAGUCCGCUGUGAAAGUCCAGGGCUCAACCCUGGAAUGCCGGUGGAAACUGUCGAGCUAGAGUCCGGAAGAGGCGAGUGGAAUUCCUGGUGUAGCGGUGAAAUGCGCAGAUAUCAGGAGGAACACCAGCGGCGAAGGCGGCACUCUGGGCUGGAACUGACGCUGAGGAGCGAAAGCGUGGGUAGCAAACAGG
rnacentral:rRNA from 1 species